UUUAUACGUCGAAUUUUGGUCGCGUCGAAUGCAAUUAAGACAAUAGAUAAUGAGAUGAUAAACCUCAUUAAGCUUCAUUAUCUAUUGUUUGAAUUGCAUUCGACGCGACCGAAAUUCGACGUAUAUG
rnacentral:miRNA from 1 species